UCAAAGGAACAUAAGUUCAGAGAGUGUCCUCAGAGUGCAGCUCAGGAUCAAGUUGCAGAGCAAAGAGGUGUCCAACCGCUGCGACGAGGACCACCACCACAGAGAGGCCGUGGGAAAAGUAGAGGUGGUAAUGGUAAUGGACGUUGACGUGGGGCACCUGGCAGGGGUGCUGGACAUGUGAAAGCUCGACAGCCGGCGUUGGUUUAUGCUGCAUGACGUCGUGAAGAGGGUGAUGCUUCUGAUGUUAUAACCGGUACGUUCU
rnacentral:lncRNA from 1 species